AUGGUUGACAUGAACACUGAUCACAUUUUUGAGGUUCCUGACACUCCUGACCGAGUACAGCAGUCAGUGUGCGCUGUAUCAAGCUCAGCUGCUACGAGAGGUGUAACAAGGAUGGCUGGAAAUCCUUCACCAGCCCGGAGACUCAAAUUUAAGAUCAAGAAUAUUUCAACCCAAGGUCAAUCAAGUAGAGGUGAUGCAGUUAGUGAACUUACUGCACCAUUAGACACUGACAAUAUUUUUAAACAAGCUGAAUUGGCUCGGAAAUUGUCCCCACCAAAGUUAGAUAGGACUACUGGGAAAUCUGUUGUGAACGGGAAUGGGGCUCACAGUCAUGAUUUGGAUCAGAGCAGCAGCAUUUCAAAUCACAUGAUUUGUAGCAGUGAUGGAGUAAGGGGCAGUAGCUGCCAAACCAGAGAAGGGCAGGUUGGUCAUCGAGACACAAGCCGUCGGCAUGUGGACUUUCUUGGUGUGGGGUCAGCUCUUCCUACUACCACGGUGGGAAACCCGCGAAACAGAGCAAAAAUUAGCACCUCUAAUGGGCUAAAGGAAGUAGUAGGUUCUGAUGUUUUUCCAGCAUCGGGUCCCAGGGAGGAAAGAAGAGAAGCGAUCAAUAUCCCGGGUACAGCAGGACUCUCAAGUACACCAUGCGAUGUUCCUCAAAGACAAGUGGUUCGGAGAAAGCUGGUGCGAAAUGGUUGUAUUUCUCCCUCUAACGUAGUCAAAACAAGUGUAAUUGCUGAUGAAAAGCGGGAAAUGUGCUCUACAAGUGGGGUAUUACACUAUCGAAAUCCUCGGGAUGAUGUUUUUCAUACAGGAACUAUAAUUGAUCUUACUGAUAAGUCACCAACAAUAACAAAGAAUGGAGCCUCUGUAAACUAUAUGGAAACAACUGCAUCCGAGAAGUUCAGAACAGCCAGUGCUGGGGGGACUCUAAUUCCACAGGGUGCAAAUCAAGCAAGCAGCAGUAACUGUUCUGAAGGUUUAAAGAACAAGGGCAAAGAAAUCAUCCAUCAUGUUAUGGGAAUUGAGCAGGCUGGAGAGGCUGAUACGAUGAGGGUUUGUCCAAGGGCCCCAGUAGGUUCUUCUUUUGUAAAUGACGACAGUACUGGCAUUUCUCAGCAAGGUUGGAGAACAACACAUAAUCAUACUAUUAAGUUACCCGUGUCAUUGUUGUGUAAGACGACCAGUACUUCUGGAAUGGAAUCUGGAUCUUCUGGACCAUCUAAUCAGGGUCAUGAAACCGCAGCAGAAGACAGCAAUAACUCAUUUGGUGCAGCAGCCGCUGCACGGUCUGCAAGUUUGAGGAAUAGGACAAUAAGGAUCAGUAAAGGAAAGAGGAAACACGCCACAAGUUCCUAUCAUCCUGGUGAAAGCUCUAGUUCUGUUAAUGAACUUGGUAGUUCAUGUCUUGCAUCUUCAGACACAACAGCUGGCAGAAAUCGUACCACUCGUCGUCAUAAUAUUUCUGUAAUAGAUAUUGAUGACAUAUCUUCCCCUGAAGCUCGAUCUAGUCUGAGUGGCCGCAGUAAUAGAACCUCGAUUGAUCCUAACGUAAGUGCACAGUUGGAGGCUGAUGAAUUGUUGGCUCGGCAACUUCAGGAGCAGCUUUACAAUGAAACACCUCGUGCUGCUCCUAGAGAAGAGAUUGAUGCAAUCGUAGCAAUGUCACUUCAACAUGAAGAAGAUGCAGAACGGACAUCUCGAGCUGUAAGAGCACCUGCAAGGUGGCUUCCCAACGAUACCAGAGCUGCACGGGCAUCGCGUUUAAGUGCUUCUCAGCGUGGUAUUAGGGCCAGAUAUGAGACGGGAAUUUCCCAUAUACAGAAUGCAGCUCCAGUAACUUUGGGUUUGAGGGCUUUUCGUGCCGGAUAUCGUGCUGCGCAUAUUCAACCUAAUAUCGAUUUAAAUGAUUAUGAUGCGCUACUUGCGUUAGAUGAAAAUAACCACCAGCAUACUGGUGCGUCGGAAAGUCAGAUCAAUAACUUGCCUCAGUCAGUAUUUCAGUCAACUAGCACCGAAGAGCCUUGCACAGUCUGCCUUGAAAAUCCAUCUUUCGGAGAUACCAUCCGCACUUUGCCAUGCUUUCACAAGUUCCACAAAGAGUGCAUCGACGAAUGGCUGAGAAGAAAGAAACUGUGCCCUGUUUGCAAAUUGGUACAUAUCGUAUCGGAGGGUUGCCCUUGGGUGUUCUGCCAAUGCCCUCGGUGCAUUUUGUUCUGA
rnacentral:rRNA from 1 species